CCUAAGGGCUGCACCGGCAGCUGACGCCUGAGCAGGAGGCCCAGCCGCCCAGGGGAUCCGAGGAGCCCUGGCUGAGGAUCUCCUGGGAAGGAUGCCCGGAAUUCCACUGUUAUGACCUGCAGGAGGUCACGUUAACCAGCCUGCGAGGAAGCCCUGCCCAGGCUGUAGCGCGGCGCUCACCGGCUCCCUCGCUAUUAAGGGACCCCUGGCUCCGCAGCCAGACCGGGGUGCUGAGGCCUAGGAGCCCCAGCGCCUCUGCUGUCCGCAGGGCAUUGCGCUGGGACCACAGACCCGUCGCUUCCCAGCUAUUCGGGCCUUCCCUUCCGUGGUUAAUUUUCGCUUUUCAUUAAGAUGUAUUCCUUUAGGGGACCAGGAGCCCAGGGACGCCUGAUGGGGAACACAUGCCCCCCACCCACGGCGGGCGCUUUGAUUCCUGCGGAGGCUGAGGCGAGGCUGCGCACAUCUUGAGGUCCCCGCGCCAGACGCUGUCCCCGGAGGCUGCAGGCGUGGGCUCGCUUCGCGUGCGGGGAGCCCCCUGCCCACAUAAAAGCCUCCCGCUCCGGGCCAUCCCUUCCCGGCGCCGCCCGCCCCCGGCCCUGCAGACACACUCAGCUGCCUCCAGUGAGGAGCCCGGGAGCCACACAAAGAAAAUGGCAGGAGACCUUGGAAAGGUGCUGGAAGUUGGGGCAAUGGAUGGAUGCAUGGAGGUUGAAAUAAUUCAUUCACACCCAGGCUGCCUGCCAGAAGCCCUCAUCUCACAGAUGGCGAAAUGGAGGCACAGAAAUGGGAAUAACCCCUGCCAGCUCCAGAUUCAAGUGUCAUGAGAGGUGAGAGUUGAAGUGCACAGCUAUAAAGAAACUUGCCCAAGCCAAGGCCACACAGCUACUACGAGCAAGAUCUGGAUUUCAAACCAGUGUGUCUGCCCCUACCAAAGCUCUUAGCCACUCAGCUCUACAGCAGGGAAGAGCAAGAAAUCAGUUUGCACUCGCUGACUCCGCAGUACCCCUGGUCCUGCUGCCCUAGCAGAAGCAAUCUCCAGCUCUGAGUGGGGUUACCAAAGUCCAGAGCCCCACCCUCGGCGGUGUCAGUUUAGAGAUUAGGUUUAUAUCAGCUUGCCAGGGAGGAACAGGUUCAGGCAGUCUUGAGUUAUGAUGACUCAGUCCACAAGGGAAUGAGCCAAACCCAAUUAAUUGAUUCACCUGUGAGAUACACUGGCCAGAAAAAAGAUUGUGGUUAAGAGGACUGGCUUCAGAGUAAGACACAGCUGGGUUUGAAACUCCAUCCACCACUUCCUAGCCUCUUGUCUUUAGACGUGUUACUCUUUGGACAUAAAAAGCAAUCUCAGUUUCAACCUCUGAAAAUGGGGGAAAAUGCCAAUCUUGUGUGGUGGCUGUGGCUUAAACCAGAUGUGUGUCAAAUAUCUAGCACAGUGGUUGAUUCUCAGUGGGAGCUCAAUAAAUGACAGUGCUCAUAAUUCCUAUCAUUGUUAUUAUUCUUCGAACACCGGACUCGGCCACCUGAUAAGUUCCAUCCUGCACAGUGAGGCGGUCCCACCAUAAAAAGAGAAAUUCCAUCUCAGAAGGCUGCUGGCAGAGCCCAGCUUAUAGAAAGAGGACUCAGCUCUCAGCCUCUGAUAGCUAGAUGAGCUGUCCUCUACCCUGCCCUCCCACCCCCAGGAUAAUUCUGUUUGAAACCCUGGUGCUAGGUUGCACUCAGAGCCCUGUCUUCUCCUGGGCAGAGCUGCCCAUAUCAAUAAAAUCUCUUCUAGCAAUACUUCCUUCCCUCAGGAAAAUAGUCCUGACCUGCCACCUUACCUUUGCAGAGCCUGGUGGGUAAACUCUUAUCCCCUCUCCCAGGUCCUGAUCAAAUGUACUUCCAUUUGUGAGGUCUUCCCAGCACCCCCAGGCACAGAUAAAUUGACCAGGAGCUGACUCUGCAAUGAGACACACCAGUGCAGAACACAGAGGUCAUUCCUCUCUUCCUUAAGGAUGAAAUCUAUUGGGACAAUAAACAAACAAAGAAAUAAACCAAAUGGUUAGAGCUUCCAGUAACUGCAAAGAAGGACAUGCCAGUAUCAUGUGGCAGACAAUAACUGUGGCAGUGGUGUAAGGCAGCAUCGACCCCGAGGCCUCAAGACAAGCAGCAGCCAGCUUUACCAUGAGCUGGGGGCAGAGGUUUCCCUAAGGAAGGAAGGAACUUGAUGUGUU